GACGAACGCUGGCGGCGUGCUUAACACAUGCAAGUCGAACGGAAAGGCCCUGCUUUUGUGGGGUGCUCGAGUGGCGAACGGGUGAGUAACACGUGAGUAACCUGCCCUUGACUUUGGGAUAACUUCGGGAAACUGGGGCUAAUACCGGAUAGGAGCUCCUGCUGCAUGGUGGGGGUUGGAAAGUUUCGGCGGUUGGGGAUGGACUCGCGGCUUAUCAGCUUGUUGGUGGGGUAGUGGCUUACCAAGGCUUUGACGGGUAGCCGGCCUGAGAGGGUGACCGGGCACAUUGGGACUGAGGUGCGGCCCAGACUCCUACGGGAGGCAGCGGUGGGGAAUAUUGCACAAAGGGCGGAAGCCUGAUGCAGCAACGCCGCGUGCGGGAUGACGGCCUUCGGGGUGUAAACCGCUUGCGCCUGUAACGAAGCGUGAGUGACGGUAAUGGGUAAAGAAGCACCGGCUAACUACGUG
rnacentral:rRNA from 1 species